UACGAAGGGUGCAAGCGUUACUCGGAAUUACUGGGCGUAAAGCGUGCGUAGGUGGUUUGUUAAGUCUGAUGUGAAAGCCCUGGGCUCAACCUGGGAAUUGCAUUGGAUACUGGCAGGCUAGAGUGCGGUAGAGGGUAGUGGAAUUCCCGGUGUAGCAGUGAAAUGCGUAGAGAUCGGGAGGAACACCAGUGGCGAAGGCGAACUACCUGGACCAGCACUGACACUGAGGCCACGGAAAAGCGUGGGGGAGCCAAACAGGG
rnacentral:rRNA from 1 species